rnacentral:rRNA from 1 species
AUUGAACGCUGGCGGCAGGCCUAACACAUGCAAGUCGAGCGGGGUUUUCGGACCUAGCGGCGGACGGGUGAGUAAUGCGUAGGAAGCUGCCCGAUAGAGGGGGAUACCAGUUGGAAACGACUGUUAAUACCGCAUAAUGUCUACGGACCAAAGUGUGGGACCUUCGGGCCACAUGCUAUCGGAUGCGCCUACGUGGGAUUAGCUAGUUGGUGAGGUAAUGGCUCACCAAGGCGGCGAUCUCUAGCUGGUUUGAGAGGAUGAUCAGCCACACUGGAACUGAGACACGGUCCAGACUCAUACGGGAGGCAGCAGUGGGGAAUAUUGGACAAUGGGCGCAAGCCUGAUCCAGCCAUGCCGCGUGUGUGAAGAAGGCCUUCGGGUUGUAAAGCACUUUCAGCGAGGAGGAAGGGGUUGUAGUUAAUAGCUGCAACCUUUGACGUUACUCGCAGAAGAAGCACCGGCUAACUCUGUGCCAGCAGCCGCAGUAAGAC